UAGUCCGGUGGGCUCCUCUAACAAAGUGCA
rnacentral:piRNA from 1 species